UACGAAGGGGGCUAGCGUUGUUCGGAUUUACUGGGCGUAAAGCGCACGUAGGCGGAUCGUUAAGUCAGGGGUGAAAUCCUGGAGCUCAACUCCAGAACUGCCUUUGAUACUGGCGAUCUUGAGUCCGGAAGAGGUGAGUGGAACUCCUAGUGUAGAGGUGGAAUUCGUAGAUAUCAUCUGGAACGCCAACGGUGAAAACAGCAGGCUGGGGGUGUGCUGACGCUGAGACACGAAAGCCAGGGGAGCAAACGGG
rnacentral:rRNA from 1 species